GAAGAUGUAACGGGGCUAAACCAUGCACCGAAGCUGCGGCAGCGACACUAUGUGUUGUUGGGUAGGGGAGCGUUCUGUAAGCCUGUGAAGGUGGCCUGUGAGGGUUGCUGGAGGUAUCAGAAGUGCGAAUGCUGACAUAAGUAACGAUAAAGCGGGUGAAAAGCCCGCUCGCCGGAAGACCAAGGGUUCCUGUCCAACGUUAAUCGGGGCAGGGUGAGUCGACCCCUAAGGCGAGGCCGAAAGGCGUAGUCGAUGGGAAACGGGUUAAUAUUCCCGUACUUGGUGUUACUGCGAAGGGGGGACGGAGAAGGCUAUGUUGGCCGGGCGACGGUUGUCCCGGUUUAAGCGUGUAGGUGUGUGUUCCAGGUAAAUCCGGUUCACUUUAACACUGAGGCGUGACGACGAGGCACUACGGUGCUGAAGCAACAAAUGCCCUGCUUCCAGGAAAAGCCUCUAAGCAUCAGGUAACAUCAAAUCGUACCCCAAACCGACACAGGUGGUCAGGUAGAGAAUACCAAGGCGCUUGAGAGAACUCGGGUGAAGGAACUAGGCAAAAUGGUGCCGUAACUUCGGGAGAAGGCACGCUGACACGUAGGUGAAGUGAUUUACUCACGGAGCUGAAGUCAGUCGAAGAUACCAGCUGGCUGCAACUGUUUAUUAAAAACACAGCACUGUGCAAACACGAAAGUGGACGUAUACGGUGUGACGCCUGCCCGGUGCCGGAAGGUUAAUUGAUGGGGUCAGCGCAAGCGAAGCUCCUGAUCGAAGCCCCGGUAAACGGCGGCCGUAACUAUAACGGUCCUAAGGUAGCGAAAUUCCUUGUCGGGUAAGUUCCGACCUGCACGAAUGGCGUAAUGAUGGCCAGGCUGUCUCCACCCGAGACUCAGUGAAAUUGAACUCGCUGUGAAGAUGCAGUGUACCCGCGGCAAGACGGAAAGACCCCGUGAACCUUUACUAUAGCUUGACACUGAACAUUGAGCCUUGAUGUGUAGGAUAGGUGGGAGGCUUUGAAGUGUGGACGCCAGUCUGCGUGGAGCCGACCUUGAAAUACCACCCUUUAAUGUUUGAUGUUCUAACGUGGACCCGUGAUCCGGGUUGCGGACAGUGUCUGGUGGGUAGUUUGACUGGGGCGGUCUCCUCCUAAAGAGUAACGGAGGAGCACGAAGGUUGGCUAAUCCUGGUCGGACAUCAGGAGGUUAGUGCAAUGGCAUAAGCCAGCUUGACUGCGAGCGUGACGGCGCGAGCAGGUGCGAAAGCAGGUCAUAGUGAUCCGGUGGUUCUGAAUGGAAGGGCCAUCGCUCAACGGAUAAAAGGUACUCCGGGGAUAACAGGCUGAUACCGCCCAAGAGUUCAUAUCGACGGCGGUGUUUGGCACCUCGAUGUCGGCUCAUCACAUCCUGGGGCUGAAGUAGGUCCCAAGGGUAUGGCUGUUCGCCAUUUAAAGUGGUACGCGAGCUGGGUUUAGAACGUCGUGAGACAGUUCGGUCCCUAUCUGCCGUGGGCGCUGGAGAACUGAGGGGGGCUGCUCCUAGUACGAGAGGACCGGAGUGGACGCAUCACUGGUGUUCGGGUUGUCAUGCCAAUGGCACUGCCCGGUAGCUAAAUGCGGAAGAGAUAAGUGCUGAAAGCAUCUAAGCACGAAACUUGCCCCGAGAUGAGUUCUCCCUGAGACUUUAAGUCUCCUGAAGGAACGUUGAAGACGA
rnacentral:rRNA from 1 species